rnacentral:rRNA from 1 species
UACGUAGGGUGCGAGCGUUAAUCGGAAUUAUUGGGCGUAAAGAGCUCGUAGGCGGUGUGUCGCGUCGGCCGUGAAAACCUGCAGCUUAACUGUGGGCGUGCGGUCGAUACGGGCAUCACUGGAGUUCGGCAGGGGAGACUGGAAUUCCUGGUGUAGCGGUGAAAUGCGCAGAUAUCAGGAGGAACACCGGUGGCGAAGGCGGGUCUCUGGGCCGAUACUGACGCUGAGGAGCGAAAGCGUGGGGAGCGAACAGG